rnacentral:rRNA from 1 species
AUUGAACGCUGGCGGCAUGCUUUACACAUGCAAGUCGAACGGUAACAGGCCGCAAGGUGCUGACGAGUGGCGAACGGGUGAGUAAUGCAUCGGAACGUGCCCAGUCGUGGGGGAUAACUAUCCGAAAGGAUAGCUAAUACCGCAUACGAUCUGCGGAUGAAAGCGGGGGACCUUCGGGCCUCGCGCGAUUGGAGCGGCCGAUGUCAGCUUAGGUAGUUGGUGGGGUAAAGGCUCACCAAGCCAACGAUCUGUAGCUGGUCUGAGAGGACGACCAGCCACACUGGGACUGAGACACGGCCCAGACUCCUACGGGAGGCAGCAGUGGGGAAUUUUGGACAAUGGGCGCAAGCCUGAUCCAGCAAUGCCGCGUGCAGGAAGAAGGCCUUCGGGUUGUAAACUGCUUUUGUACGGAACGAAACGGUCCUGAUUAAUACCCGGGGCUAAUGACGGUACCGUAAGAAUAAGCACCGGCUAACUACGUGCCAGCCGCCGCGGUAAAAC